GAAAUCUCCAUGGAAGAGACCGUAACCUGAGGACAGAGAGCUUAUCCAGGUCAUCAAACGCCUUUCUUGGAGAAGCUCUGCCAGCACAGAACUCUCUGUUCCUGGGGACCCGAGGCUGAGCUGGCUCUCCCGCCCGAUCGAUGGAUGACUUCACAAAGACUGACGCCUACCAGGCACCACGACGGUCCUCAGGGAGGUCUAACGCUGCUCUUGGGACCGCUGCCCACCCUUGCCCCCUGGCUGACCUCUGCUGGGUGGCAGAGCACUCGUAGGGGAGGGGCACAUGCCACUGGCUGGGUGACCUUGGGCCAGACUGAACCUCAGCUUUCUCCCGCACGAAAUGGGAGUACCUGGCUAGCCCAUGCUCCCCUCACAGGGAAGUGGUCAGGAAAUAAAGUGCUAAGAAGACA